UAUCUCUCUCUCCCGCUGCUUCCUUGGUUUAGUGUUGCCUGUGUUGUGCCCGAAAGCAGUGUUGUAUAUUUUAUUGCGCAAUGCCCGUAAUCAUUGAGUGACCGCCCUGUGCGUGUGUUGACGCGUCAGGAAGGGAGUGUUGCGUCUCCAGGAGGGUCUUCCCCUUCCGAGUUGCGUCUGCGCUUGCUUCCUUCGUCAGGCACCUCCCACCUCACGCCUUGCUUCCUCCCGUCUCCCAGAGUCUACACACCUGCACUCUUGAGGCAGGAGUAAGUGGACCUGCUGGUGGACUACAGGCUGAACACAAGCAUUGACAAGCAGUACAGGGCAUUUCAUGAUGGCUUCUGCAGGGUGUGGGACGGUACUGUGCUCAAACUUUUCCUGCCAAUGGAACGAACUUAAGGACUUGGUCACCGGCAAUGAAAAUUAUUUCUGGACCGAGUUGGAAAAGAAUGCUGAAUAUAAGAUUAAGUUAGGUUGAGGUGGGCCUGGGGUGUGUAUGUGUGUGUGUGUGUGUGUGUGUGUUUAGGCGUUUUUUUUUUUGUGUGUUUGGCAGUGUUUUCAGGUGGCUGUGUGUGUUUUAGGGUCGUUUGUGUGUGUUUUCACCUGUAUAUCAUUCAUUUUAGUUGUUCUCCACUAUUUCAUCCUCUCAUUCAUUUUACUUAUUUUUCCUUAUUAAUGUACGCUCUGCCUCUGUCGCCGCCUCUAAUAUUUAUCCAGUCCUUCCCUGUGUCUAUAUAUCUAGUCCUUUUUUACCUCUAUCACUCUCCUAUCUAAUAUCCAGUCCUUCACUUCCUGCCUUCAGUUCGCACACACUCCUCACCUCUUCUGGUGCCUAUAUUUACCCAGUCCUUCCCUGCACACACCACAGCCAAUAUGAAUUAACACACAAAUGCCAAUAUCCUUCCUUUUAUUAAUCCCUCAUUGUGUUUCCAGGGUAAGUACUUCCCAGACCAUCCAGUCACUCGCACGUGUUGGGAAGUCUUUCGCAAGCUCUCGCUGGAACAGAAAAUGUUUUUACGUUUCUGACGGGGACUCACCAGGUGUACUAGGCAUGAGAGAGAGAGAGAGAGAGAGAGAGAGAGAGAGAGAGAGAGAGAGAGAGAGAGAGAGAGAGAGAGAGAGAGAGAGAGAGAGAGAGAGAGAGAGAGAGAGAAUUUUUUAUUUAUUUCCUUUGUUCCUUCCUCUUCUCCUUUAUUUCUUCUUUAUCUUUCUAUCUUUCUCUCUCCUCUGUCUUCUUUCUUACAUUUCUUCUAUUCCUUCCUCUUCUCCUACUUAUUAUCUUCGUUCUAUGUCCUCUUCCUUCUUUGUCUUCUCUCUCUCCUCUUCCUGCCUUCCAUCACUUAUGAAAAUAUUAAAUACAUAUUUUCAACAUAAUAAUAAUAAUGAUGAUGAUAAUAAUAAUAAAAAUAAAAUAAUACAGAUUAAUUCCUCUCACAAACAGUAACUCUCUCUCUCUCUCUCUCUCUCUCUCUCUCUCUCUCUCUCUCUCUCUCUCUCUCUCUCUCUCUCUCU